GCUUGCGUUCCAAAGUGCCACAUGCUUGACAGUUUUACUGUUCUGUUUCCUCCUGGCCCUGUAGAAUUAGCAUCACCUGGAGCUUGCUAUGCUGCAUCUCAGCUCACCACAAACAUUCCACAUCAGAAUCUGGAGCUUUCCCGAAUCCCCAGUAGACAGCUGUUCCCCAGGAGUACCUGAGCUAUGCCUCAUCCAAGCUGUCAGGCAUCAUCAUUAGUCAAGCCUUUCAUCUCAGCUGCAGCAUAGCUUCAAGUCAGCAGUUCUCUGGGCCACCUGUUACCACAAGUUAUAUCAGGACACUCCCAAACAAUCCUUUCUUCAGUUCUUUCCUCCCCCUUCACCCCUAGUUAAAGCCCAUGUCAAUUGGAAGCAACAAAAAAAUGACUUGUUGAAAGUAAAUCUCUAUGAAGAAAAGCA